UACUAGAGUAGCACUCGCAUAUCAAUAAGCGGAGGAAAAGAAACUAACAAGGAUUCCCCUAGUAACGGCGAGUGAAGCGGGAAGAGCUCAAAUUUGAAAUCUUAAAGGGUUUCCCUUUACGAAUUGUAGUUUAAAGAAGUGUUUUCUGUUGAGGUUUUGGUAAAAGUUCUUUGGAAUAGGACAUCAUAGAGGGUGAGAAUCCCGUAUUUGACCUUUACUUUCAACUUUGUGAUACACUUUCAAAGAGUCGGAUUGUUUGGGAAUGCAGUCCAAAAUGGGUGGUAAAUUUCAUCUAAAGCUAAAUAUUGGCGAGAGACCGAUAGCGAACAAGUACCGUGAGGGAAAGAUGAAAAGAACUUUGAAAAGAGAGUUAAACAGUACGUGAAAUUGUCAAAAGGGAAGCGUUUGACACCAGUGUUGUUUUUCUGAAAAUCAAUUAAAGAACUGUUUAUGCUAAGCUGUUUAGACUUUAUCAGCUAUCUGCUUAGUUUUGAGCUUUUCUUUAAUGCACUUUUCAGGUUAACAAGUCAACAUCAAUUUCUUUUGCUGUAAAAAAGCCUGAGGAAGGUGGCUUGAGAUUCGUCUUAAGUGUUUAUAGCCUCUUGCCUAUGCAGUCGGAGAGAUUGAGGUCUGCAGCGUAGAUCCUUCGGGGCUAAAUGCAUUUGUGCUAAGUUAUAGCAUUUUAUAGACAACUUGUUGACUAUGAUUUGUCUUGUAGCUUACUCGCUUAUGUUAUUUUACCUACGCUUAGGAUGUUGAACUACUGAGACAUAGA
rnacentral:rRNA from 1 species